UAAACUAGCACUCAAGUGUAUAAAAACAACUUGUAUCCUAACUACAUAAAAACUACAACUUCCUAUGCUUUCGCCAUUAUUAUAGUUCCGGCCCUAAUAUUUAUUUAUUCCGGACAAGAAACAAUUAUCUCAAACUGACACUGAAUGACAAUCCAAACACUAAAAUUCUCCAUGAGCUUUAAACUCGACUAUUUCU